UACGUAGGGUGCGAGCGUUAAUCGGAAUUACUGGGCGUAAAGGGUGCGCAGGCGGUCUCGUAAGCUGGGUGUGAAAGCCCCGGGCUUAACCUGGGAAUGGCAUCCAGGACUGCGAGGCUUUGAGUGCGGCAGAGGGAGGUGGAAUUCCACGUGUAGCAGUGAAAUGCGUAGAGAUGUGGAGGAACACCGAUGGCGAAGGCAGCCUCCUGGGCCAGCACUGACGCUCAUGCACGAAAGCGUGGGGAGCAAACAGG
rnacentral:rRNA from 1 species